GAAGAACCAAAGACAUCUGCAACCUGUGGCUGCAGAACCAGGUGGGUGUGCAAUUCAGAUAGAAGCCAACUGAAAACAUGAAAUUCAGCAUCAGACCAUUCAAACACUGGGAGGUGCUGGUGUUGAUCGGUAGUGAAGGAGGAAGAGAUGUGGUCAGUUUUAAGGACCAGGAACAGCAAGGAGUGUGUGUGUGUGUGUGUGUGUGUGUGUGUGUGUGUGUGUGUGUGUGUGUGUAUGUGUGUGUGUGUGUCUGUGUAUCUGCGUGUCUGUGUGUCUGUGUGUCAGGGGGUGAUGCUUAGAGACCAGCCUCUUCCUCAAGUAAAGAAAGCUUCAGUUGGGUCUCUUGGCUUUCUUACUCCUGUUCAUAAAAAUCAGCUGAAAGAUUCCACAGAGGCAAUGUAUAGACUUACUGCCUGCAGUUCACCAGAAGCUGGAAAGAACCCAGAUGCCCAUCAACAGAGGAAUGGAUACAGAAAAUGUGGUACAUUUACACAAUGGAGUACUACUCAGCUAUUAAAAAGAAUGAAUUUAUGAAAUCCUAGGCAAAUGGAUGGACCUGGAGGGCAUCAUCCUGAGUGAGGUAACCCAAUCACAAAAGAACUCACACAAUAUGUACUCACUGAUAAGUGGAUAUUAGCCCAGAAACUUAGAAUACCCAAGAUAUAAGAUACAAUUUGCAAAACACAUAAAACUCAAGACGAAUGAAGACCAAAGUGUGGACACUAUGCCCCUUCUUAGAAUUGGGAACAAAACACCCAUGGAAGGAGUUACAGAGACAAAAUUUGGAGCUGAGAUGAAAGGAUGGACCAUCUAGAGACUGCCAUAUCUGGGGAUCCAUCCCAUAAUCAGCUUCCAAACGCUGACACCAUUGCAUACACUAGCAAGAUUUUGCUGAAAGGACCCAGAUAUAGCUGUCUCUUGUGAGACUAUGCCAGGGCCUAGCAAACACAGAAGUGGAUGCUCACAGUCAGUUAUUGGAUGGAUCACAGGGCUCAUCCCUGAGCUAUGAAGUCACAUGUUUUCUACUGUGAAUUCUCUACAAAACACAGUAUGAGGAACUGAGGAGACUAAGGAACUGACAGUGUGGUAGGAAGAAUCAAGUCCAAAGUGUUAAGGGAAGGAAGUGAGGAAGAAGAUAUUAAACUACAUCACCAUCCAGCUGACCCUUCUCGGGAACCACCCCGGAAGUCACCCAGAAGUUUGGAGGAGUUUUUGUUCAUUUGCAUUUUCAGACCUUAGAGUAGUCCAUGGAGGGGGAAAGC
rnacentral:lncRNA from 1 species